UAAAUACUCCCUCCAUCCCAUAUUAAGUGUCGAAAUAUUACAUGUAUCUAGACGUAUUUUAGUAUAUAGAUACGUCCGUAUUUAGACAAAUUUGAAUCCUUUAAUAUGGGACGGAGGGAGUAGAAC
rnacentral:pre_miRNA from 1 species